AGUGAACGCUGGCGGUAGGCCUAACACAUGCAAGUCGAACGGCAGCACAGUAAGAGCUUGCUCUUACGGGUGGCGAGUGGCGGACGGGUGAGGAAUACAUCGGAAUCUACUUUUUCGUGGGGGAUAACGUAGGGAAACUUACGCUAAUACCGCAUACGACCUACGGGUGAAAGCAGGGGAUCUUCGGACCUUGCGCGAUUGAAUGAGCCGAUGUCGGAUUAGCUAGUUGGCGGGGUAAAGGCCCACCAAGGCGACGAUCCGUAGCUGGUCUGAGAGGAUGAUCAGCCACACGGGAACGGAGCCACGGCCCAGACUCCUACGGGAGGCAGCAGUGGGGAAUAUUGGACAAGGGGCGCAAGCCUGAUCCAGCCAUCCCGGGUGGGGGAAGAAGGCCUUCGGGUUGUAAAGCCCUUUUGUUGGGAAAGAAAAGCAGCAGGUUAAUACCCCGCUGUUCUGACGGUACCCAAAGAAUAAGCACCGGCUAACUUCGUG
rnacentral:rRNA from 1 species